AUUGAACGCUGGCGGCAUGCCUUACACAUGCAAGUCGAACGGUAACAGGUUAAGCCGACGAGUGGCGAACGGGUGAGUAAUGUAUCGGAACGUGCCCAGUCGUGGGGGAUAACUGCUCGAAAGAGCAGCUAAUACCGCAUACGACCUGAGGGUGAAAGCGGGGGAUCGCAAGACCUCGCGCGAUUGGAGCGGCCGAUAUCAGAUUAGGUAGUUGGUGAGGUAAAGGCUCACCAAGCCGACGAGCGGUAGCUGGUCUGAGAGGACGACCAGCCACACUGGGACUGAGACACGGCCCAGACGCCUACGGGAGGCAGCAGUGGGGAAUGUUGGACAAUGGGCGCAAGCCUGAUCCAGCCAUGCCGCGUGCGGGAAGAAGGCCUUCGGGUUGUAAACCGCUUUUGUCAGGGAAGAAAAGGUUCUGGCUAAUACCUGGGACUCAUGACGGUACCUGAAGAAUAAGCACCGGCUAACUACGUG
rnacentral:rRNA from 1 species